GGAAGAGUCAAAUUCAAGAGCUACGCAAGAAGGAGAGGGAGAUUUGUUGACUGGUUGAUUGAUUGGUUGUGCAUGUGUCUGUUCUGGGGACUGCACCAAGCGCCUUGCACACGCCAGAUCCAUCUUUCAGAUAAGGAAGCUGAAGGUGAAAGAAGGUUUUUUGUUCAAGCUUACACAGCCAAGACCUUCUGUCCAAAAUACACUGGAAAGCAAAGCUGCUCAAACUAUGUCCAGAAUUCCAGAUUGCCUUCUCCUUUUGAGAGAUCUUCCUGAAACUCUCAAGAUGGCACAGAAAACUUUGAACAGAAGGUCUGGACUGAGCCUGAAACACUGCAACCCUAACAAUUUCACCAAUAACACUGAUCAGAGACCACAGUGUGAUUGAUGUGGGGCCAGUACAGAGGACACACUGAGGUCAGAAGGAAGCCCAGUUCAUGACUCUUGCACUUACUGGCUCAGGACAAUGCCUAGAGCAACUAAAUUCUGGCAAGAUCAAAUAAAUAAAUAUGCAA
rnacentral:lncRNA from 1 species